UCUCCGUAGGUGAACCCGCGGAGGGAUCAUUACAAGUGACCCCGGUCUUACCACCGGGAUGUUCAUAACCCUUUGUUGUCCGACUCUGUUGCCUCAGGGGCGACCCUGCCUUCGGGCGGGGGCUCCGGGUGGACACUUCAAACUCUUGCGUAACUUUGCAGUCUGAGUAAACUUAAUUAAUAAAGUAAAACUUUUAACAACGGAUCUCUUGGUUCUG
rnacentral:misc_RNA from 1 species